UCCUUGUUAGUAUAGUGGUGAUUAUCCCUGCCUGUCAUGCAGGAGACCGGGGUUUGAGUCCCCGAUGGGGAG